UAACUUAGGGAGAAGGGGUGCCUACGAGAGUAGGCCGCAGUGAAUAGGCUCAAGCAACUGUUUAUCAAAAACACAGGUCUCUGCUAAAGCGUAAGCUGAUGUAUAGGGGCUGACGCCUGCCCGGUGCUGGAAGGUUAAGGGGAAUAGUUAGCGCAAGCGAAGCUAUGAACUUAAGCCCCAGUAAACGGCGGCCGUAACUAUAACGGUCCUAAGGUAGCGAAAUUCCUUGUCGGGUAAGUUCCGACCCGCACGAAUGGCGUAAUGAUUUGAGCACUGUCUCGGCAAUAAAUCCGGUGAAAUUGUAGUGCAAGUGAAGAUGCUUGCUACCCGCGGUUGGACGGAAAGACCCCGUAGAGCUUUACUGUAGCUUAGCAUUGAAUUUCGGUAUUGUCUGUACAGGAUAGGUGGGAGACUUAGAAGCGAGGGCGUCAGCUUUCGUGGAGUCGUCCUUGGGAUACCACCCUGACAGUACUGGAAUUCUAACUGGAGGCCAUGAAUCUGGUCACAGGACAUUGCUAGGUGGGCAGUUUGACUGGGGCGGUCGCCUCCUAAAAGGUAACGGAGGCGCCCAAAGGUUCCCUCAGCGCGGUCGGAAAUCGCGCGUAGAGUGCAAAGGCAGAAGGGAGCCUGACUGCGACACAUACAGGUGGAGCAGGGACGAAAGUCGGGCUUAGUGAUCCGGUGGUUCUGUAUGGAAGGGCCAUCGCUCAACGGAUAAAAGCUACCUCGGGGAUAACAGGCUGAUCUCCCCCAAGAGUCCACAUCGACGGGGAGGUUUGGCACCUCGAUGUCGGCUCGUCGCAUCCUGGGGCUGUAGUCGGUCCCAAGGGUUGGGCUGUUCGCCCAUUAAAGCGGCACGCGAGCUGGGUUCAGAACGGCGUGAGACAGUUCGGUCCCUAUCCGCCGUGGGCGUAGGAAAUUUGAGAGGAGCUGUCCUUAGUACGAGAGGACCGGGAUGGACC
rnacentral:rRNA from 1 species